rnacentral:rRNA from 1 species
AUUGAACGCUGGCGGCAGGCCUAACACAUGCAAGUCGAGCGGCAGCGGGAAAGUAGCUUGCUACUUUUGCCGGCGAGCGGCGGACGGGUGAGUAAUGCCUGGGAAAUUGCCCAGUUGAGGGGGAUAACAGUUGGAAACGACUGCUAAUACCGCAUACGCCCUACGGGGGAAAGCAGGGGACCUUCGGGCCUUGCGCGAUUGGAUAUGCCCAGGUGGGAUUAGCUAGUUGGUGAGGUAAUGGCUCACCAAGGCGACGAUCCCUAGCUGGUCUGAGAGGAUGAUCAGCCACACUGGAACUGAGACACGGUCCAGACUCCUACGGGAGGCAGCAGUGGGGAAUAUUGCACAAUGGGGGAAACCCUGAUGCAGCCAUGCCGCGUGUGUGAAGAAGGCCUUCGGGUUGUAAAGCACUUUCAGCGAGGAGGAAAGGUCAGUAGCUAAUAUCUGCUGGCUGUGACGUUACUCGCAGAAGAAGCACCGGCUAACUCCGUGCCAGCCGCCGCAGUAAAAC